rnacentral:tRNA from 2 species
GCAGUCGUGGCUGAGUGGUUAAGGCGAUGGACCAGAAAUCCAUUGGGGUCUCCCCGCACAGGUUCGAAUCCUGUCGACUGCA